rnacentral:rRNA from 1 species
CAGAGGGCAGCUACCCAGCAAUGGGAUGCGAAUCUCGAAAGCCUGUCUCAGUUCGGAUUGGAGGCUGAAACCCGCCUCCAUGAAGUUGGAUUCGCUAGUAAUCGCGCAUCAGCCAUGGCGCGGUGAAUACGUUCCCGGGCCUUGUACACACCGCCCGUCACACCAUGAGAGUCGGGAACACCCGAAGUCCGUAGCCUAACCGCAAGGGGGCGCGGCCGAAGGUGGGUUCGAUAAUUGGGGUGAAGUCGUAACAAGGUACC